UACGGGGGGGGCAAGCGUUGUUCGGAAUUACUGGGCGUAAAGGGCUCGUAGGCGGCCAACUAAGUCAGACGUGAAAUCCCUCGGCUUAACCGGGGAACUGCGUCUGAUACUGGUUGGCUUGAAUCCGGGAGAGGGAUGUGGAAUUCCAGGUGUAGCGGUGAAAUGCGUAGAUAUCUGGAGGAACACCGGUGGCGAAGGCGGUUCUCUGGGCAUUACCUGACGCUGAGGAGCGAAAGUGUGGGGAGCGAACAGG
rnacentral:rRNA from 1 species